rnacentral:rRNA from 1 species
AUGUGGGUUGUGCUGAUCAGAAGCAAAGAUAAAGCACUUGAGGCAGUUAAGAAGAUAAGAGCAACAGUAGAGCUUGAACUUAAUCUGAAGGUGAUGACACUCAGGACAGAUCGUGGAGGGCAAUUCAUGUCAAAGAAUUUUGCUCAAUUCUGUGAAGGCCUUGGGAUCAAGCACUACUUGACGGCGCCAUACUCUCCACAACAGAACGGUGUUGUUGAGAGAAGAAAUCAGACUGUUGUUGGAAUGGCUCAAAGCCUUCUGAAAGCCAAGGGAAUGCCUGGACAAUUUGGGGGUGAGGCAAUAGCUACAGGAGUCUAUCAACUGAAUCAUUCACCAACAAAAAGCGUGCACGGGAUGACACCUUAUGAGGCCCUGUACAAACGAAAGCCUAAUGUCGAGCACCUUGGUACAUUUGGGUGUACAGGGCAUGUGAAGAAAGUUGGAAGGCACCUCCCAAAGUUGGUCGACCGGAGUACUGAAAUGGUUUUGAUUGGGUAUGAACCAAAUAGUAAAGCAUACAGACUAUUCGAACCACACACGAAGAAGCUGUGUGUCUCAAGAUGUUGUGUUCGAGGAGGACAGACGCUAGGAAUGGACCACCAACGAUGCUGA